ensembl:lncRNA
AUUUUUAUACUAGUCCCAUGCUUUUCAUAGACCUCUUGAAAACAAAUAGGGGCUUGUGGCACCAUUCGUCCUAACAUAAUCAGUUUCCCCAAGACCAAGGUAAACAACAUGACAAAGACAGCAGAGAGGGGACCAUACGUUGGAUCAGGACUGACAAGCUGCUUUUUGUGAAAUGGAAGGACACUAGGGAAUUAACCAUGCUCACCACACAACAUGAGGUAUUCAAUAACUACCAAUGUCUCAAGGAGGGUGAAAAGUGCCAAUGGGGCAUGGGGGAGGAAGAAUGUCCCUAUUCCUGUUUCUGUGAAGGACUACAAUGCCAGCAUGGAGGGUGUUGACCUAUCUGAUGCUCUGAUAGGCUACUACCAGGUCCUCCACAAGACCAGGAAGUGGUAUAAGACUUUUUUCUUACCACUUUGUGGACAUUGCUACAGUAAAUUUUUUCAUUCUCCACAAGCAGAUGGCCAAAGCAAAAGGUCAAACCCCUCUCUCCCAGUUGGCCUUCAGAGAGCAGCUGGUGUUGGAAAUUGCUGAAUUAUGGGCCCAGAGCAACCUCACAACCAUCACAAGACCCCCCACUCAAGAGCUUGUUGGCUGCGUCACCAUCGCUGCCUGGAUUGGUCACGGGGCCCUGGAGAAGGAGUGGCCUGAGGUCAAACCCUAAAGCACCAGAGCCUGGUCAUGAUGGACCAUAAGAGAGCACUCACCAUUUCACUGGCCGUUGACAAGGUGGAUAACUCUCAAGUAUGUCUGGCCUGCCUGGCUAUAUUAGUCCAUUGGGAUUCCUAGUCUUUUUCUCAGCCACUAUGCAAUUACUAUAAUCAACAACAGUGAGCAUUUUAACAGUACCCCAUUCUGCUUUUAAGAUGGGAAGUCCACUAAAAAUUCCCAAGAUCCUUCUUUCUUCAGAGUUGAGAUGUGGGAAUGAAGAGUCACAGAUUCACUGGACCCAGAUUGCUGGAAACGGAAUCAAACUCCAAAAGUCUUGUCAGCAGAAUGGAUCCAUCUCUUUGGAUCACGGCCAAGCGGCUUUAGCCCAAGCGGCAAUGAACUGCACGCAGCUCCAGUUGGUCCUCACGGAUGUCCUGAAGACGGAACAGGGGCAGGCCUACCUAGACAGGAAGAUGCGUGGCAAGAUGACAGGAACUGGAGAGAGGAAGAGAGAGUCACCGAUGGGGAGCGGGCAAAGGAGGGUGUCUCAGAGUAGCAGAGAGGGGAGGGAGGAUUGUAGAGAUUUUAUAGCACACAGAAAGAGACCCCAUGACCACCCCACUCCCACCUCGACCCCGACCCGCAAGGAGAGGAGGUCACACCACAGAAGGGGGUCAGAGGAAGACGAGGAGGUGAAGGAACUUUUAAUAGGAGAGGAAAACAUCAAAGACCAGAGAUGCAACAGUAGUGUGUCAGGGAGGCACAGUUCACGGGAACCCCUGGAGGAGGUGACCUUUACUGAGGGGGACAUGCACCAGGAAAAGCCUUACCCACAAUCCACCAGGACUAGGAAGGCAGAUUCAGGUUCAAGCGAAUCCACACAUGUUGAGAGGGAGAGUUGGAGGAGGGAGUCUGGGCUCUACAGUAAUGGACAGGUGAAGGAUGGAGGGAUGAAUGAUGGAGUGGCAGAGGGCUUGACCACAGACGCCUCCAGGAGCUCCAGAGGGAGCGUGCUGCACCUCUCCAGGGAGGCCAGAGGCGGGGGAGGACUGCCCCCCAAACAGCUGUGUCUGGGGGGGACGGGGGGCAUAGACACUAAUGUAGCAUCCAUAGAAGUAGAGGUGGACCCCUCAAACUUUGACGGGACCCCGAUGGUAGUCACUGUGGGGGAAGACAGGGAAGUUGCCAUCUCCUCUAACCCCAGCUGUGGAGGGGUUAAUGAGAGGAGAGGAACCCUGUCCUCCAGCCAGGAUAGGACGCCCAAACUCAGUCCUGUUGAACCCAGUGAGUAUAGAGCUACGUAUAGGCUAUCAUUGUUCACUGCAUAUCUGCACUCCUGGUGUGUGUGUUUCUCCUGACUCUCUCAAUGAAACAAACACACACACAGAUCCCCACCCUUCCCUCCUCCUGGAAUAGCGUCAUCAUAAUAUAGUCUUAUUUCUCUGCCUACGGGCACUGACCCUAACAUGGUGACCAUGCCGCUCACGUUGCAAAAUAAAUGUACACAUACAUGUUAUUCAAUCAUUGCACCCACACUGCUCGCGAGCGUCUGCGUAGCCUGGCGCUAAAAUAGAACGCACCUUAAAGUUGGUUGCUGACCUCCAUAUAGUCCAAAGAAGAAGGUUAGCUAAAUUGCCAUAAAUGUUUAAUGCUUAUCGACCUGUCCCCAAAUGAAUAUAGUUGGUUCAGAUUUUUUAAACCUGCGUGUCCUGAUGGUGUCUGGUGUGGGUGGACAAUAUCAACAUGCCAGUUGUCUGGUCAGCAUGUAACUCUGAACCAACUAUAUUAAUUUGGGGACAGGUCGAAAAGCAUUAAACAUUUAUGGCAAUUUAUCCAGCUAGCUUGCUGUUUCUAGCAAAUUUGUUGUGGAAUAUAAACAUUAGGUUGUUAUUUUACCUGAAAUGCACAAGGUCCUCUACUCCGACAACUAAUCCACAGAUAAAAUGGUAAAUCGAGUUUACUAGAAACAAUCUCUCCUCCUUCAGUCUUCUUCUUCUUGGGACCUUAUAACUUUAAGGUGCGUUACCACCACCAACUGAACUGGAGUGUGGACAUCAGUUUAUCUUUCAAUCACCCACGUGGGUAUAUGCUCCUAAAAACCAAUGAGGCGAGGCGAGACCUGCAGUGCGUCACAAAUAGAACCAAGUUCUAUUUUAGUGCCAGGCUGCGCAGACGCUUGCGAGCAGUGUUUGAAUAACAUGUAUGUGUACAUUUAUUUUGCAAAGCUCGAGCCCGCGACGCGAGCGAUGUGGUCAGCAUGUCAGCCCCCUCACACACAAGCACACAUACUGUCUGUCUGUAACACGGACCGCCGGAUCUGUGCUUGUGACUGUCUGUGUCAGUAUGCCCAGUGUGUGUUGAGUGCGUUUCUGUGACUCUGCCAGUAUUGCCUUUUUAACGUUUUCAUUUGUUUGUGUACAGUACAUGUCUGUAUGGGUCUGAAAUAGCACAAGCUGUGCCUUACAACACUGGCAUUGCUAUGGUUACUCGCCCCCCCCCCCCCCAACAAUAGCAGGAUUACUGCUGUCUGCAUCUUUCCUUCACAGUGCAUUACUUACGGUCAUCGUGUGAGAGAGAUUAUAAUUAGGCUGUAUAUACACGUAUUCCACUGCAACGUGUUUAAUGGUGUGUUCUAGUCGUUCUCUCCAGUGAGAGGAGGUAGUCACCCCGUCCACAGUUCAGUCCUUUGGCCACAGACUAGUGAGUGUGAGUCCCAGAGAAACCAUGCUCAGGAAGACAACGUGGUGGAAGAGACGGACUUUCAGGUGGGGCAAAUACAACUUCUACACAGACAUCGUAAAGGACAGAAAGGGGGAUCUCGCAAUGGAG